UAAAGAUCCUUCAGCUGCUUCCCUCCAGCCCUUUUGCUGUCCUCCUGUCCCCGUGGGAAUUAGUGUAUCUCUGUUUAACUAUCCUUUAGCUGCAGUGUUAGCGUGAGGCUGGUUCUUUGAGCCAGAUAGCUCUUUCUCAGACACUUAGGGGCACGUUAAGACUCUUGUCUAGAGAAGAAAAUCGUCCUGGUGAGCAUAUUGCCCCACUGAAUGCUUUAGGUGUCACACAAAUGCUGUGCUGUUUUAAAGUUGCUCUGUGCUGUGCCUGCAGCUAAGGUGAGAGCAAGCCAGACCCAGGAUUGGAGUGUGUAAAAGAGGAUCUUUGUCCACAGCUGAGGAGAUAGCUCUGGUGGUUAGCCCUUUUAAGUCACCCUUCACAGGUCCGUCCUCCAAGUCCCGCCCCUUGCUCUGAUUCUUGUUGAUUUUCUGCGGAGAUCCCAGUGCGGUGUUCCAGGUACAGGUUUGUCUCUGUUUAUCAAGGAGCUUUCCUUUCUUUAUGCCAUGGCACUGACAAGCACCACCUGAUGUUAUACUGACCUUGCUCUGACUGCCUCUUGAACACGUUGGCCUGUUUAAACUGUAUUUAAUAUAACCACAGAAUUAAAAACAAAAAAUGACGUUCCACAAACUUUCUAAAAGUCAGUGAGUGA